AUUGAACGCUGGCGGCAGGCCUAACACAUGCAAGUCGAGCGGCAGCGGGAAAGUAUCUUGCUACUUUUGCCGGCGAGCGGCGGACGGGUGAGUAAUGCCUGGGAAAUUUCCCAGUCGUGGGGGAUAACAGUUGGAAACGUCUGCUAAUACCGCAUACGCCCUACGGGGGAAAGCAGGGGACCUUCUGGCCUUUCGCGAUUGGAUAUGCCCAGGUGGGAUUAGCUAGUUGGUGAGGUAAUGGCUCACCAAGGCGACGAUCCCUAGCUGGUCUGAGAGGAUGAUCAGCCACACUGGAAGUGAGACACGGACCAGAGUCCUACGGGAGGCAGCAGUGGGGAAUAUUGCACAAUGGGGGAAAACCUGAUGCAGCAAGGCCGCGUGUGUGAAGAAGGCCUUCGGGUUGUAAAGCACUUUCAGCGAGGAGGAAAGGAAAGUAGAUAAUAUGUGCAGGGUGUGACGUUACUCGCAGAAGAAGCACCGGCUAACUCCGUG
rnacentral:rRNA from 1 species